UGAAAAUAACGUUACAUAACAAUAUAAUUCCAUUUUUCUUUAAGUCAUGAGGUAAAAUAGUAAUAAUUUUUUAAAUAAGGCUUGACAGUUUUAUUUAACUUUUUUUAAAAUAUUAUAUGAGAGUUAUUCUACAAUGUAGCAUUUUAUUCCAGGUUUAAUUAGAAUAAUAAUAAGAAAAAUAAGAAGAAAAAUCAAAAAUAGAGAAAAUAUUGAUUCACAAUAUAGUUUCAAAGUAACUCUCCACAUUGCUUUCAGUUAUUUGAGUUUUUGUUUUACAAGUGGAUUAAACGAUACUGAGUUUCAACUUUUCACUCCUUUUCCGUGGGAACAAGUUCUACACAAGGAUUGCUACCCCUACACUAGACGACACUACUUGCAUUUAUUUACAAUUUUGCACGCGUGUGUUUAUAUACGCCGAAUUCAAUGUUUCUCCGAUACCAGAAGUUGCCAAGACGUGCUGAUUAUUCUGCCAUUGUUCCUUUUAUAGAGAUCUCCCCUGAUUUUAUGAAUCAAAUAAAAGGGGAUGUUUCCCUAUUUGAACUAGAUUGUGCCUACUAAAAAUGUUGAAACAAAAAAAAAAAAAAUUUGUACUUUGCAAAAAUUUAAAAAGAAGUAUGUAGAAGUUUUCCUGAGGGUUGCCUCAACUUAUAUUCUCUGAGUUACUCCCAUUCUGAGAUAUUUUCGUAAUUUUUCGUGGACCACUGGAAGUUUAUAAAUAUUUAGCCAUAGGUAACAACAUAGAAAUACUCAUUAAACUUUUAAUUCUCUAUUAGGGUUACUUCUGUAUUGUGAGCAGUUAUGCCAACUGCUAUCGUCCAGGCACCAAAUAGAUUUCUAACUGCUAACU